AUACGAACGAGACUCUAACCUACUAAGCGGCCUGAGAAAAGGCUAUUAGACGGCUGGAUCUUACUUACACACGCGUGUAAAAACAGAGAGGGAAGGUCAACGCGUUCCCCGCACGGGGAUCGCUGCUUCCUUUCGGGCACGCAAGCGAGUCCGCCGUGGCUACGCGUAAGUUGUUUCGCGUGCCUUUCGCGUUCCUGGUGCGGCAGAGACGGGCGGCCCGUAUGUGUGUGUGUUGCGGUGUGCGCGCGAAAACAUUGUCCUAGCGCGUGUGCUGUGGCGCGCCGCCUGCGGGUUUGCCACCUCUCCGUGCUAUGGGUACGCGUUCGUGCGUCGCGUCUUCUUGCGCGUAGACAAACGUUGUUUCUUCUUAGAGGUAUUGGCGACUCUCAGUAAGUCGUACGAGAGAGAGAGCAAUAACAGGUCUGUGAUGCCCUUAGAUGCCCUGGGCCGCACGCGAGCUACAAUGCCGGGUACAGCGGGUUUAACUUCCUUCGCCGAGAGGGGCGGGUAACCCUCUGAAAUCCCUUCCGACGACGCGCUUGCGUACGGGGAGUCCACUCCCUAGCGCUUGCGUGUCUCUCGGCUCGAUUGGGCCUGGGGCUUGCAAUUAUUUCCCACCAACGAGGAAUGCCUUGUAUUGGCUAGUCACGGAACUUGCAGCGACUCAGUCCCUGCCCUUUGUACACACCGCCCGUCGCUACUACCGAUUGAGUGUACCAGUGAGAUUCUUGGACUGGCGAACCGUCUCUCGUCUCGAGUAAUCGAAACGCCGACGGCGAACGACGGAAAGAGACCCGAACUGGUGCACUUAGAGGAAGUAAAA
rnacentral:rRNA from 1 species